GAUGAACGCUGGCGGCGUGCCUAAUACAUGCAAGUCGAGCGAAUGGAUUAAGAGCUUGCUCUUAUGAAGUUAGCGGCGGACGGGUGAGUAACACGUGGGUAACCUGCCCAUAAGACUGGGAUAACUCCGGGAAACCGGGGCUAAUACCGGAUAAUAUUUUGAACUGCAUGGUUCAAAAUUGAAAGGCGGCUUCGGCUGUCACUUAUGGAUGGACCUGCGUCGCAUUAGCCAGUUGGUGAGGUAACGGCUCACCAAGGCAACGAUGCGUAGCCGACCUGAGAGGGUGAUCGGCCACACUGGGACUGAGACACGGCCCAGACUCCUACGGGAGGCAGCAGUAGGGAAUCUUCCGCAAUGGACGAAAGUCUGACGGAGCAACGCCGCGUGAGUGAUGAAGGCUUUCGGGUCGUAAAACUCUGUUGUUAGGGAAGAACAAGUGCUAGUUGAAUAAGCUGGCACCAUGACGGUACCUAACCAGAAAGCCACGGCUAACUACGUGCCAGCAGCCGCUGUAA
rnacentral:rRNA from 1 species